rnacentral:lncRNA from 1 species
GCCAAACACUCAGAUACUCCUUAGGAAAUCGUGUUGAUACACAAAAGUCAUCACACAUCUGAAAACAUGUACAAGACUUAGCAAUUUCCUCUAUUAAUUCUAGUUGUUAUUCAUUUCUGGAGCAUUUUGUGUCAACUAAAAAUAGAGGCAUUUAUGAACAGGAAGACAUUUGAUAGAUUAUGCUUCCUAGCUGAAUUCAUUUCUUUUUUUGACAGCAUUCAUCAAAACUUCCAAGGUCUGCGUUCUGAGCUGCAUUACAGUGCAGCUGCCAUCACAGUUUAUUUCUCUCUUUGGAACCAGAUAAACCGAUGUGUCUCCACUUUGCAACCUCCGUUAUGAAAUUUCCACAAGCAUCCAAAAUUUCAAAACAUAUUCUAAUCGGUUUUUUGAUUUCUGAAUUUUUUCAUGCAGCACUGAGGACUCACGAGUCCAAAUCUUGGCCAAAGUUUAUUUAUGAAAAACACAAAGGUAGGUAGGGUGUACUAUGCUACUACCCCACCGAAAAAAAUUUGCAUUUUUGUUUCUUUCAUAAUUAGUUGGUAUUUAAAAAUCCUUAAUUUGUACACUGAUCAUCUAGAGAUCUUGUUAAGAUUUUGAUUCUACAGAUCUAGAGUAAUCUGAAUUUUAAAAAAAUUCCCAGCUGCUGCUGUUGCUGCUGAUUAUAGAUCACACUUUGGGUAGUGUGUUAAUCAGCAUUUUAUCACUGGGAUCAACAUAUCUGACAAUAACUACUUAGAGGAGAAAAGGUUUAUUCUGGGCUCAUGGUUUCAGAGGUUCAGUUUAUAGUCUGCCAACUCCAUUGCCCUGAGCCCGAGAUGAAGCAUAAGAUCUUUCUAGAAGAGCAUGGCAGAGGAAAGUGGUUCAACUCAGACAGAAUAGGGAGCACAAGGAGCCAGGAACGACCCACUUUCUCCAGCUACACCUACCUGUCUACAGUUACCACCCAGUUAGUUCAUUCAAAUUAUUAAUCCAUAAAAUCUGAUUUAUCUACUGUCUCGGUUAUAGCUCUCCUAAUCUAAUCAUUUCACCCCAAACAUUUCUGCAUUAACACGGGAGCUUCUGGUAGAUACCUCAUAUCCAAACGAUAGUAGGUAACAAGAACUUAAACUAUGGAAAGGUAUCAAAACUAGUCUAUAGAAGCCAGAAAGGAAAAGACUGAUAUAUGUGAUUGUAGGUUCUCCCUUUAUGGUCAGUUUCCUUUUUAAUGGACAAAGAGGCUAGUAUUAAGAAUAUGUAUAGGACACCAAUAAAUCAAUAAGGAAAAGGCAAAAGAUGAGAAAAAAAAGGGCAAAGGAGGGGCUGGGGUUGUGGCUCAGUGGCAGAGUGCUUGCCUUGCACAUGUGAGGCACUGGGUUCAAUCCUCAGCACCACAUAAAAAUAAAUAAAAAUUAACAAAAAUAAAGAUUAAAAAUGGGCAAAAGAUAUUGCAUUAAUAGAGGUAAAAAUCCAAAUGGCCAAUAUAUUUACCAAAAGCUAUUCAACCCUACUGGAUAUAAGCGAAAUGUAAAAUAAGUAAUAAUUAGAUAACAUGUUAUACUUGUAAGAUUGGCAUUAAAUGUAAUAAUAUCAAUAACUUUAGUUUUGAGUGUUUAUGCAGGAUAUAUUUUCACAGGAAGACUACUGCAAUCACAUUAGAAAUUAAUUUGCUAAUACUAAUCAAAUUGAAAAGGUAACCUGUGCCAAAGAGGCAUAUAUGAGGAUUCUCAUUAUAGCAGUAACCUAGGAAAAAAAUGGGUAUGAUUUGCAUCAGUUUCCUCCAAAAGAGGGAAAUGUGUUAAAGGUUUGUUUGCUAAUCUACCACAAUAAUGGGAGAUGGUGGAAUCUUUAGUAGGUAGGGCCUACUGAAGGAAGUUAGGUCAUUGGGGGCAUGUUCUUGUAGUAGAUAUUGAGACCAUGGUCUCUUCUCAUUUCCUUUGCUUCCUGUCUGCCAUGAGGUGAGAAGUUUCCUCUGUCACACCUCCUUCCACAAUGUACUGCCUUACCUCAAGCCCAAAAGCAGUGGGGCCAACCAACUGAAUCUAUGAAAUUUUGAGUCAAAAUAAAACUUUCCUCCCUAUAAGUUGCUUAUUUCAGAUAUUUUUGUCACAGUAAUGGAAAGCUGACUAACAUUUAACCUAAAUGUCCAUCAGUAAAGGAGUGGACACACUGUUUAUUUAUAUAGCAGGAUAUUAUGUAGCAGUUAAAACUAACGAACCAGUUCUACAUGUAUGAAAGUGAAGAAUUCAUGAAAACAUAAUUUUGAGAGAAAAAUAAAAUCACAAAAUGAUGUAUAUUGUAUUAUGCUAUUUUAUUAAAAAUUAAACUCAGAAAUACCUUCCAGUAGCUACUGUGUUCAUUCAAAAUGAAAACCAAAGUCUGAAAGCCAAAGUCCCAACCAUAGCCACAUGACUGCCUUAUAUGGCUCUCUACCUCACUGAGCUUAUCUCCCACUCCAAAUCUGAACAGCAAGGAAUAAUUAAAUUACUUUACAAACGUUAGUGAUUUGUAAGUGAUUCUGUUAGUGAAUAUUGAACCAGGAUUUAAACCUAGUUUUAUUCCACACUGGACUCCCUCCGUUACACCAUGCUCUAAUAAGAUGGUGAUUUUUUGCUCUAAUAUGAGCAUUACUUUUUGCUAGACAUAACUCAUGUAUCCAAAUGGGACGAGUCCCUUUCUUUGGGAGGUCACCUAGCCUAGCAUUGCUGCAAUUGCUGAGAAAAUUCUUGGACUCUUUUUUUGGAAGAGACACCAAAGCAUGGGAUAUGUUUUGGUUAAAAAGCUAUGGAAAUGGAAAAUCCUUAAUCUUCGCAUAUAAGAAAGAUUUUUAGAAAACAAUUUUCUUUUGAUUAGAUUUUAGGAAGCCAAGUUAUUUUGAAGAAAAUUUGAAGCAUAAAUUGAUGAAAAUUUAAAAUAUUGUCAAGAACAAAAAUAAGUUGCAAAUACAGGAUGACUACCAAGAAGUAGAUCUGAUGAUCUUGGAUGGCUCAUAAAUUAAAUCAGGAUGCAGUUCCAAAAGAAGAAUUUUCCAGUAACUGUGACCAUAGUUGUAUGAUGAGACAAUGUCCUGGAUAGCUACUUUGAAGGGCCGUGUAGUGUGGUGAUUAUAGCUUAGAUUAAUCUCUCUUAUUAUGCGCUAGCUAUUUCCUAAGCGUUCUAUGUAUUAACUGUUUAUAUAUUACAGGAGAGAAAACCAAGGUAUACAGAGAUUAUGUUACCCAUGGUCUCUCAGCUAAAAUACAGUAGGGCUGAGGUUUGAACACAGGCAAACUGGUUCUAGAAUCUAUGCUUUUAAAAACUACACUACUGUCUCUUGAAACAGCACUGAGCAGUACCCUUCAAAUUUUUUAGAUUAUACAUCUUCAUUUCUCAUAAACCCAAAGUCAGAAGACAUAAGAGCCCAUUAUGUAGCCAUGCAAAUCAGCUUUCCUGGGUUGAUAUUUGGCACUUAAGAGUAUCAGCUGGUGCACAGACUCAGUGUGGGGGGAGACUGAGGAAUGAGGCUCAGAUGAGAGGGCAGAGAUCAAAAGAUACUACCCAGCCAAAGCAGUAAUGUGUAUUUACAUAUUUAUAUAUAUAUAUAUAUAUAUAUAUAUAUAUAUAUAUACUACUGUUAAUAUGUUGUAUGCAUUGUAAAACAUUCAUAAAACAAUAGAAGAUUUAAAAUGGUAAGAUUAAAAAAAUAACUAAAAGUUCCAUUAUUUGUUUUCCUUCACUGAGAUGGAUUGUCUUUAACAUCCCAUGAGGGACACACAUCCCAGACUAGGCUUGGGAUAGCAAGGCUUUGAAUCCAGGCAUUACCCUGGUACUCUGGGCAGUUUCUUGCUCUCUGCUUCUGACUCUUCAUCUGUUGAAUCAGGAUACUAACUUCUAAUUUGCUGAAUUAUAUAGUUUAAAUGAGAUGCUGUGAACAAAACUAUAGUUCCUGUCUUUUGGCAAGCUCUUUACAUAUUACUUUGCCUCAUAGUUUUGAUUCCCCUUAUUUGUGUUUCAUGGUCUGUGUUUUUAAAGUUUCUUUACUUUGUACACACUCCUGUAAUUAAGUUGGAAGCAGCCUUGCAGUUAGGCUUGGUGCAUCUAGAUGGAGCCAGAUUAAUAGCUUUUUCAUGCUGCAUCAUUCUAAACAUGGCGCAGCUGUUUCUCUUUCACAGCAAAGAAAACUGGGCAGGAGACAUCUGGAAGAACCUGUGUGCAUUUUACUUUGUGUAAAGCACUAUAGGAAUUGGGAGGGAGAGAGGGAGGACUUAAUGACUAUCAGACACUUAAAAAUGAAUGGCCCAACUGUUCAGCAAUUGUGUCUGUGAACAGAGGUUCCCUUUUACAUCAGCUGUUUGUCAUUGCCCUUUGUGACUGGGAAUCAGGCUUGAAAACUCUCUCAGUGUAUUCUGAGCCAUUUUUAUCUCAGCCGUUCUAUGGGUCACUUUUUCCUAACAGGGUCGCUUGGAUACAUUCAGCCCAUUUACCAUUACCAUUCACUGAAAAUUUCACCUUUGAUCCCAACUCUGAACUUUUGUUCCCUCCUUAUCCUCCUCUUAAAAUGCUAAGUCUGUUGGGUUUCCAUGGCAUAAAGUUAACUAGAAAAGGAAUGUACUUGAAGGACCAUCAACAACUAGGUUUCCAACUAACAGAUGACACCCUCUUGUUAGGAUAAUUUUAGAAUUUAAAAGGAACCAGUUUAUAGGAGUUUAUUGGAUUAGACAAAGGGGGAUGAAGGGAAGGGAACGGGGAUAGAAAUAGGAAAGACAGUGGAAUGAAUCGGACAUAACUUUCCUAUGUUCACAUAUAAAUGCACAACCAGUGUAACUCCCCAUCAUAUACAACCAUAAGAAUGGGAAGUUAUAUUCCAUGUAUGUGUGAUAUGUCAAAAUACACUCUACUGUCAUGUGUAGCUAAAAAGAACAAAUUAAAAAAAUUUUAAAAAGGAACCAAUUUUAAAGGUGUUGGCACAAACCCAAGACAUAGUGCUAAUAUCAAUGUUGGACACACCCAAGGCUAACAGCAGUGAAGGUGUUACUAUCCUUUGGCCCAAAGACAUAAAGGGAUAGAGAGUUUAUUAGAACUUGGAAAGAGAAGGAGUUGUGUAGAACAGGUCACCUUGAAAGGAAAAGUAAAUUUCUAUUGAAGAGCAAGCCAACCCAUGAUAUCCAGAUAAGGAGAGAACAAUGAGAAUAAACAAUCUUCACUUGACCUUUCCCCAUUUUCCUGCUGGGAUUCCAAUAGUCAAAUCCAACCAAAAGCUGGAAGAAUAAGAGAGCUCAUUGAUGUAGCCCACACAAAUUAACUUUCAGAGGUAGAUAUCUAAUAUGUGGGGCAAUCAACUGUGGCAGAACCAGUGCAAAGGCUGGGGAUGAUAGGGGAAGGAGGCUCAGUAAUAGCAAAGACAGAGAUCAAGAAAGGCCACUCAGCAGGAGUAAUCUAGCUCAGACAUCACUUCUGGAUGUAGCUGCUGCUUUCACCAUAUUUCUAAUUUCAUUGAUUGUCCCUUCACCAUUUGGUCACAUUCUCAAGAACAAAGUCCUGAGUGGGAACAUUCAAGUGCCUGGUAGAGGCAAUAUUGCCUGUCUUUGGCUUUCCUGGUGGGAACUGGGAAACUGCCUUUUGAAACUCACACAAUUAGAGAUUUCUAGGUAUUAAAAAAAAGUUCAGAAACAAGGCUGUGUCCUUUCUAAAAACAGACAAGUCUCUACUAACAAAUGACCUCCUUAGUCUUUGUUUUUAUUAAUCUGCAACAGUAAGACUAUCAAACAAGAGUACUGACUUUUUAAAAAUUUCUAGUUCCCUCCCUGUCCUCUCUCUCUCUCUCUCAUUCCUUUCCCUCCUCCAUUUCCUGAUCUCAGGAAGGCCUCUUUAUCUCUCUAGAUCUUUAUGCAAGAGAGCAAGAUCAUGAUACCCAAAUUUAGUUAGGAGUUCAAAUGCUGGGCAGUCAAAAAUAUAUACAGGUCCAUCUAGUAGAAUUCUCUAGUCAAUAUUUUCUUGGUAGAAUGCUUAAAACCUUUUGGGCUAUGGAUGUGUAAAAGUCACUGAACAUGCAUUUCUGCUAAUACAGUAUUGGAGUUUUUCAGCUGCUAUCUUUAUAGGAAACAUUUAUAUGAUAGUUAUGUCCUUAAAAUGAAAUGCAACAUUUAUUAACUGAGUAAUAAACAUGACAGACAUAAGAGGCUGCCACCCUAUAUGGCUUCUGGUGUGUCUUCAUAGGGACAUCAACAUUCCUACCCACUGAGAAGUCUGUCCACAUUUUCCGCAAAAACCUUCUUGUCUCCAGUCUUUAAUCUUGUUCUUCCCAUAUGCCUAAUUAUCUGGCCAAAUCAUGAACCACUGCUUAUGAAGUGGUAUGAUCCAUGCCUCGUAUCAUCUCUCCUUUCAGGUAAAAUGCAGUGAGGCACACUGCUUGGACUUGUGCUCACUGGGAACAUUACCUUAUUCACUCCUUGGAUUCAAGAUGGCUGCUCCUCAAUCUACAAUGAUUCAUGAAUUAUUGGACCAAUAUAAAAUUACAUUUCUCAUCUUUGAUCAAACAUUGUUAUACUCUAUUCCCAUAUACACUUCUCAGAGUUUUACCAAUAAAAACUAGAAAUUCGG